rnacentral:rRNA from 1 species
UCGAUCCGUAAGGAUUGGGCGGGGAAACCGGCGAACGGGUGCGUAACACGUGAGGAACCUGCCCCGAAGACCGGGAUAGCCCGGGGAAACCCGGAUUAAUACCGGAUGUCCUCGAGGGACCGCAUGGUCCGUCGAGGAAAUGGUCCGCCGCUUUGGGAUGGCCUCGCGGCCUAUCAGCUUGUUGGUGAGGUAACGGCUCACCAAGGCCGAGACGGGUAGCUGGUCUGAGAGGACGAUCAGCCACACUGGGACUGAGACACGGCCCAGACUCCUACGGGAGGCAGCAGCAGGGAAUAUUGCACAAUGGGCGAAAGCCUGAUGCAGCGACGCCGCGUGCGGGAUGAAGGCCUUCGGGUUGUAAACCGCUUUCAGGAGGGACGAAAAUGACGGUACCUCCAGAAGAAGCCCCGGCCAACUACGUGCCAGCAGCCGCGGUAACACGUAGGGGGCGAACGUUGUCCGGAUUUAUUGGGCGUAAAGGGCUCGUAGGCGGUUUAGCAAGUCGGUCGUGAAAGCCCGGGGCUCAACCCCGGGACGCCGGUCGAAACUGCUAUGACUAGGGUCCGGUAGAGGUGAGUGGAAUUCUCGGUGUAGCGGUGAAAUGCGCAGAUAUCGAGAGGAACACCAGUAGCGAAGGCGGCUCACUGGGCCGGUACCGACGCUGAGGAGCGAAAGCGUGGGGAGCAAACAGGAUUAGAUACCCUGGUAGUCCACGCCGUAAACGUUGAACACUAGGUGUGGGGGACUUAUCCACGUCCUCCGUGCCGCAGCUAACGCAUUAAGUGUUCCGCCUGGGGAGUACGGCCGCAAGGCUAAAACUCAAAGGAAUUGACGGGGCCCCGCACAAGCGGCGGAGCAUGCGGCUUAAUUCGAUGCAACCCGAAGAACCUUACCUGGACUUGACAUCAUGGGUCUGCCUGUGGAAACACAGGGUGCUUUUGCGCCCAUGACAGGUGGUGCAUGGCUGUCGUC